UACGUAGGGGGCUAGCGUUGUCCGGAUUUAUUGGGCGUAAAGAGCGUGUAGGCGGCCCGGUAGGUCUGGUGUGAAAACCCGAGGCUUAACCUUGAGAUGUCAUCGGAAACCAUUGGGCUAGAGUCCGGAAGAGGAAAGUGGAAUUCCUGGUGUAGCGGUGAAAUGCGCAGAUAUCAGGAAGAACACCAAUGGCGAAAGCAGCUUUCUGGGACGGUACUGACGCUGAGACGCGAAAGCGUGGGGAGCGAACAGG
rnacentral:rRNA from 1 species